ACGGAAGGUCCGGGCGUUAUCCGGAUUUAUUGGGUUUAAAGGGAGCGUAGGCCGUCUGUUAAGCGUGUUGUGAAAUGUCGGGGCUCAACCUGGGCAUUGCAGCGCGAACUGGCAGACUUGAGUGCGCAGGAAGUAGGCGGAAUUCGUCGUGUAGCGGUGAAAUGCUUAGAUAUGACGAAGAACUCCGAUUGCGAAGGCAGCCUGCUGUAGCGUAACUGACGCUGAAGCUCGAAAGCGUGGGUAUCGAACAG
rnacentral:rRNA from 1 species